UAGCUAGUUGGUGAGGUAAAGGCUUACCAAGGCGACGAUCUGUAGCGGGUCUGAGAGGAUGAUCCGCCACACUGGAACUGAGACACGGUCCAGACUCCUACGGGAGGCAGCAGUGGGGAAUUUUGGACAAUGGGGGCAACCCUGAUCCAGCCAUGCCGCGUGAGUGAAGAAGGCCUUCGGGUUGUAAAGCUCUUUCGGCCGGGAAGAAAUCGCAUGGGCCAAUACCCUGUGUGGAUGACGGUACCGGAAUAAGAAGCACCGGCUAACUACGUGCCAGCAGCCGCGGUAAUACGUAGGGUGCGAGCGUUAAUCGGAAUUACUGGGCGUAAAGCGUGCGCAGGCGGUUUUGUAAGACAGGCGUGAAAUCCCCGGGCUUAACCUGGGAACUGCGUUUGUGACUGCAAGGCUAGAGUACGGCAGAGGGGGGUGGAAUUCCACGUGUAGCAGUGAAAUGCGUAGAGAUGUGGAGGAACACAAAUGGCGAAGGCAGCCCCCUGGGUCGAUACUGACGCUCAUGCACGAAAGCGUGGGUAGCAAACAGGAUUAGAUACCCUGGUAGUCCACGCCCUAAACUAUGUCAACUAGGUGUUGGGUGGGUAAAACCAUUUAGUACCGUAGCUAACGCGUGAAGUUGACCGCCUGGGGAGUACGGCCGCAAGGUUAAAACUCAAAGGAAUUGACGGGGACCCGCACAAGCGGUGGAUGAUGUGGAUUAAUUCGAUGCAACGCGAAAAACCUUACCUACCCUUGACAUGCCAGGAACUUGCCAGAGAUGGCUUGGUGCCCGAAAGGGAGCCUGGACACAGGUGCUGCAUGGCUGUCGUCAGCUCGUGUCGUGAGAUGUUGGGUUAAGUCCCGCAACGAGCGCAACCCUUGUCGUUAAUUGCCAUCAUUUAGUUGGGCACUUUAACGAGACUGCCGGUGACAGACCGGAGGAAGGUGGGGAUGACGUCAAGUCCUCAUGGCCCUUAUGGGUAGGGCUUCACACGUCAUACAAUGGUCGGUACAAAGGGUUGCCAAGCCGCGAGGCGGAGCCAAUCCCAGAAAGCCGAUCGUAGUCCGGAUUGCAGGCUGCAACUCGCCUGCAUGAAGUCGGAAUCGCUAGUAAUCGUGGAUCAGCAUGUCACGGUGAAUACGUUCCCGGGUCUUGUACACACCGCCCGUCACACCAUGGGAGCGGGUUCCGCCAGAAGUAGGUAGCCUAACCGCAAGGGGGGCGCUUACCACGGCGGGGUUCGUGACUGGGGUGAAGUCGUAACAAGGUAGCCGUAGGGGAACCUGCGGCUG
rnacentral:rRNA from 1 species